rnacentral:rRNA from 1 species
AUUCAAAUAAAAUAGGUAGUAUUAAAAUAUUAAGAAACCUAUAUAAUCUGGCGGCAUUUCAUCUUAUUAGAGGAACAUGUUAUAUUAUCGAUAAUACACGAUCAAUUUCACUUAUUUUAAAAUUUUAUAUACCUCCAUCCAUAAAUUAAUUUUAAGAUAUUUUUAAAAUAAAAAUCUAAAAGGUUAGGUAAAGGUGUAAACUAAAAAUAAGAUUUCAAUGUGUUACAUUAAAAAUAAUUUAAGGAUCCCAUCCAAAGCUUAAAUGAAAAGGGAUUUAAAAGUAAAAUUAACAUAAUAUUUUAAUUUGAAUAAGAAAAUAAAUGUGC